UAGGGAAUCUUCCACAAUGGACGCAAGUCUGAUGGAGCAACGCCGCGUGAGUGAAGAAGGUUUUCGGAUCGUAUAGCUCUGUUGUUGGUGAAGAAGGAUAGAGGCAGUAACUGGUCUUUAUUUGACGGUAAUCAACCAGAAAGUCACGGCUAACUACGUGCCAGCAGCCGCGGUAAUACGUAGGUGGCAAGCGUUGUCCGGAUUUAUUGGGCGUAAAGCGAGCGCAGGCGGAAUGAUAAGUCUGAUGUGAAAGCCCACGGCUCAACCGUGGAACUGCAUCGGAAACUGUCAUUCUUGAGUGCAGAAGAGGAGAGUGGAAUUCCAUGUGUAGCGGUGGAAUGCGUAGAUAUAUGGAAGAACACCAGUGGCGAAGGCGGCUCUCUGGUCUGCAACUGACGCUGAGGCUCGAAAGCAUGGGUAGCGAACAGG
rnacentral:rRNA from 1 species